rnacentral:lncRNA from 1 species
GGCGGUGCCGGCGCGAUGCUCCCUCAGCGCCUCGGGCGUCCCGCCGGAGUGAGGACUAAGGCAGGGAACACCCAGGACCUGCCUGGUGGCACUGGGAGCCGGGAGCUGCCUGCCUGGCACCUGCUGUAAUUUGACUGGCCGUGCCAAAGUGCAACGCUUCUCCUUCUCCUUGGCAGCCCCAGAACCCCAAAGGCACUGGCUUCUGGCUGGGUCAGAUGGUUGCUCUUGGCCCAUCACCCACCGGCUUAACCUAGCACCAUGUGGGCUUUGCUCCCUGCAGUCAUGCCCAAAGAUAGGUGAGGGGGUUUAUGACCAGUUACCAGCUACGAAAGUAAUCCAAAACUGUUCUGCCCUGUUCAAUUUCUAAAUAGAAAUCGUGCUCCUUCCCCAAGAGUUGACAUUGUGAGUUGGAAGCUAUUCAAUAACUGAGAGGUGAAGGGUCCAACAUGCAAGAGAUUCAUCAACACCUUUUUUUUCUUUACUCUCACUCCUAGUCAGUCCAUUAGCAUUAUAUGAGGGAGGUGAAGUUAAUGUUAGUGCUAUUAUACUUUUCCUAAAUUACAGUAAUCCUUUGAGGUGGAAAUAGCUGCAGUGGGGCUGGCUCUGGCACUUUUAUCCAGAGCAUUGCAUUGUUCACAUUUUCCCAGAGAGCUCAGCUCUGGGAAGCACAAGAUUAUAGGACAAUCUCUAAUACAAAGCUGAACAAAAGACCCCCGAAGCCUCAAAACCAGAGGCAGAUUAAAACAAUUUCAUAUACAUUACAAUUUAAAACCUCAUUAUUUUCACUUAACCUCAUUCAUUUUUAAUACAUGGGAAUUGCCAAAACUGGGUUAAGUUUCCAAAGGGAUAAUAGGCAUGGCUUGCUGAGACACCUGGGUUACUACUGGCACACACGGCCACAGGCUGCAGCCAUGGGGAUCCCUUGGUGAAGAAUGGUCGGUCUACAGUGGGACUGAGGAAACACUGAACAGCCCAUUGAACAGGAAUCAGCUUCAUAACCCUGACACUUGAGACACGUGGGGAAGCAGAGACAUUCCCUGGAGAUCUACUGGGGUCAUUAACACAGCCAGGCUGAUUCAGCAGUACAUCUACACGUGCCCAACAGCGAAGAUACAAGCUUGAUGGUUUUAAUGUGGUGCUCAACAUAAAUACACACCUAUUUCCUAAAUAAGUACGUGCCUAAUUUAAGGCUCCAGUGUCUUACUGUUCAGUGCACCCAGACCCCACUGCUCUGUCAUUGGAAACCAGCAAUGUGGGGCUGUCCCCCAGAAGAGUUGCUGUGGUUGUGCUCUUCACCCUACCUCACUUGGGCACAGGUGAAGCCCUCAGGCUCCUGGCAGGCUGCCACUGUAAACCCAGCACAGCUGGCUUGAGUGGAGAGUAAGGCCUCAAUAUUGCAUUUCAAACAUUGAUUAGUAAAGCAGGUGAUUGAAAAAAAAAAGGUGUUUGUUUAGAUUAUGGAGAUUGUGGAAAAGAAAACAGUUCCAUAAAUCUGAAGCUGGAAAUGCUACAGCAGUCGGGUACAUGGGAUUCCUCUGAAUGAGCUUCCCUUCCUCCACCUUUGGCUGCAAGGAUGAAAGUCUUUCUCAGAGAAGUGCUCGACAAGCAUCUGAAAUCCAGCUCAACAGAAAGCCAUUCAAAGGGGUCAAGAGCAAGGAUUCAUGCAGUAAAAUAAAUACCUGGAGAUGGAAAA